rnacentral:tRNA from 1 species
GGGGUUGAUGCUUGUGGUAGGCGUGUUAGCUGUUAACUAAUAUAAUGUGGGAUCGAAACCUUCCAACUCCG